CCAGGUUGUAGUUUUUGUCAGCCCCUCGCUUUCUGGACCCAACCAGCAUGGGGAGUCUGAAGAAGAGAAAUCCAUCAGCCCAAUCAUGAUUUUAAUUUAUGGAGGUGACUCAGUGACAACAGAGAGAUCAAUCUAUUGAAAGAAGAAUUUAUUAUAUACGUGUUCUGAGAGAAGGUGACAAUUCACACUACAUAGGGCCAUUGGGAAACAUCGAGAUGAUCAGGAAGCUAAAGACAAGAGCAAGGAGAAAACCUGAGCCAAAGCCUUUAUUAGGGUUUCCACAGGAAAGAUGAUAAGAAGAUAGAGGAAAAGGCCAUGUGAAGACAGAGACAGAGACUGUAGCUAUGCAGCCACAAACUAAGGAACACCUGGAGCCACCAAAAGCUGGAAGAGGCAAGAAAGGAUUCUCUCCUAGGACCUUCAGAGGAAUGGAACCCUGCUGAUACCUUGAUUUUGAACUUCUGGACUCCAGAUCCAUGAGAAAAUAAAAUUCAGUUGUUUUAAGCCACCAACUUUCUAGUUUUACUAUGGCAGCCCUAGGGAAUUAAUAUACAAGUAGACCCCAAAAUAUUAUAACUUAAAUGAUAUAGAGGUUUAUUUUUCACUCACCUAAGAGUUUUACGUUUAUUGGUUCAGGUUUGUGGGAUAGCUCUGCUGUGUGUAAUCAUUUUAAGGAUCUUGUUUCUUUAUAAAUCUUUGUUCUGUCACAACCCUAGCAUUGUCACUUUUUGCAAAGCCAAAGUUGGAUCAGUGUUCUUUAACUUGUUUUACAUUUUCUGUAAUCUUUUACUUUUUUAAUAAAGUAAGGGCUGAUCACCUUCAUUUAAUCAAUGAUUGAGCUGAGUC